AUCCAGCUGACGAGACCCAAAUAGGACGAAUCACUAGUCCUGGAU
rnacentral:hammerhead_ribozyme from 1 species